GAUGAACGCUGGCGGCGUGCCUAAUACAUGCAAGUCGAGCGAACAGAUGAGGAGCUUGCUCCUCUGACGUUAGCGGCGGACGGGUGAGUAACACGUGGAUAACCUACCUAUAAGACUGGGAUAACUUCGGGAAACCGGAGCUAAUACCGGAUAAUAUAUUGAACCGCAUGGUUCAAUAGUUAAAGACGGUUUUGCUGUCACUUAUAGAUGGAUCCGCGCCGCAUUAGCUAGUUGGUAAGGUAACGGCUUACCAAGGCAACGAUGCGUAGCCGACCUGAGAGGGUGAUCGGCCACACUGGAACUGAGACACGGUCCAGACUCCUACGGGAGGCAGCAGUAGGGAAUCUUCCGCAAUGGGCGAAAGCUUGACAGAGCAACGCCGCGUGAGUGAUGAAGGUCUUCGGAUCGUAAAACUCUGUUAUUAGGGAAGAACAAAUGUGUAAGUAACUAUGCACGUCUUGACGGUACCUAAUCAGAAAGCCACGGCUAACUACGUG
rnacentral:rRNA from 1 species